GGAAGUAAGCUAUGCCGCCAUCGAGAAGGAAUGCCUGGCGGUAGUGUGGGCCCUCAAGAAACUACAGCCCUACUUAUAUGGACAACAAUUUGCCUUGCUCACAGAUCACAACCCGUUGGUGUGGCUAAACUGGGUGUAAGGGGACAACGCUAGACUACUGAGAUGGAGCUUGGCACUACAACCAUUUGAUUUCACCAUCCAGGGAAACAAAAUGGUAACGCCGACGGGUUGUCCAGACAGAC